rnacentral:rRNA from 1 species
GAUGAACGCUGGCGGCGUGCCUAAUACAUGCAAGUCGAGCGAACAGACGAGGAGCUUGCUCCUCUGACGUUAGCGGCGGACGGGUGAGUAACACGUGGAUAACCUACCUAUCAGACUGGGAUAACUUCGGGAAACCGGAGCUAAUACCGGAUAAUAUAUUGAACCGCAUGGUUCAAUAGUGAAAGACGGUUUUGCUGUCACUUCUAGAUGGAUCCGCGCCGCAUUAGCUAGUUGGUAAGGUAACGGCUUACCAAGGCGACGAUGCGUAGCCGACCUGAGAGGGUGAUCGGCCACACUGGAACUGAGACACGGUCCAGACUCCUACGGGAGGCAGCAGUAGGGAAUCUUACGCAAUGGGCGAGAGCCUGACGGAGCAACGCCGCGUGAGUGAUGAAGGUCUUCGGAGCGUAAAACUCGGUUAUUAGGGAAGAACAAAUGUGUAAGUAACUAUGCACGUCGUGACGGUACCUAAUCAGAAAGCCACGGCUAACUACGUG